rnacentral:lncRNA from 1 species
GUUUGUGUGGUUGAUCAGAGAAGAUGGUGGUUUCCACCACCACCACCACGUGUUCUGAUCCCUGGCCCUUGGAUAUCCCUUCCACGAUCUAAUCUCAUGUGUCCAUUUUAAUUACUUGUUUUAAUUCGUUAUGUGGCGCUGUUAACUUAAGUGUAUCGUGUGUCCUCAGAUCCAAGUCGUGCACCACUGCCACGUCAAUUAAUGAAUUGGAUCUAGUGGCUCAGGCUUUUUUGCUUAUUUUAUUUUU